rnacentral:rRNA from 1 species
UACGGGGGGGGCAAGCGUUGUUCGGAAUUACUGGGCGUAAAGGGUUCGUAGGUGGCCUACUAAGUCAGACGUGAAAUCCCUCAGCUCAACUGGGGAACUGCGUCUGAUACUGGCAGGCUAGAGUGUGGUAGAGGAUAGUGGAAUUCCCGGUGUAGCGGUGAAAUGCGUAGAUAUCGGGAGGAACAUCAGUGGCGAAGGCGGCUAUCUGGACUAACACUGACACUGAGACUCGAAAGCGUGGGGAGCAAACAGG